AUCUCACACAGGAAGUUGAGAUCUCUAUGAGGGGGGCGUCACCACAAAAUAACUGUCAAUCACACACACACACUCACACACACACACUCACACACUCACACACACACACACACACCGCUGGAGCUCGGCGAAGCCUUCCUGCUCUUCUCGAGAUGAAGGAGGAGUGUGUGUAACGAUGGAUGACAGGAACAGGCGCGAGCGGAUCAGACCUGCACACACACACCUGAAUGAAGACAGCUGUCCUGCUGAACGAGCUCCUAAAGGUCACAUCAGCGCAGGAGAUGCUGUGCACAGUCUUCCUCGUCCACUGCGUGUUAAGCCAGGAUGUAAAGGACCCGCCGUCAACAGAGACCUCAAACCUGGGAGACUGCCCAAGAGCUCCUCCGGUACUGUCUCUUUAAAUUCAGCAUUUCUUAAAUGUCUCUCUCUCUGUCUGUUCAUA